rnacentral:rRNA from 1 species
UCAGAGUCACACAGAUGGAUAAUUGUGCUAAUUGUGCAACUAAUACGUGCUGAAUCCCAGGUUUCCUGGGGCACUUAUUAGAAUAAGAACCGUCCCGCGCAAGCGGAUACUCUUUAGAUGUUAACCAUAAGGUUGUAUACCGUGAUUCUUUCACUGGUAUCUUGGGUGAGGCGCAGCCCUAUCAGUUGCGGACGGUAAGGUCUUGGCUUACCGUGGCGUUUACGGGUGACGGGGAAUUUGGGUUCGAUUCCGGAGAGGGAGCCUGAAAAACGGCUACCACAUCUAAGGAUGGCAGCAGGCGCGCAAAUUACCCAAUCUUAACAGAGGGAGGUAGUGACGAGCAAUAACAGCGUGUGACAUUUGUUGCACGACUGGAAUGAAACGGGCUUAAAACACUCGUUGAGAAUCAAUUGGAGGGCAAGUCUGGUGCCAGCAGCCGCGGUAAUUCCAGCUCCAAUAGCAUAUAUUAAAAUUGUUGCAGUUAAAAAGCUCGUAGUCGAACUUUGUUCAGCUGGUUGCACUUACAGCUUUGCUGUUUAUGCGACCGACUGGACUUUGCGUAGCACUCUUGUCUUUGACAUUGGUGCUCCGCCACUUUGAAUAUAUCAAAGUGUUUAAAGCAAGUCUACUUGAUUGCUCAAGCAUGGAAUACAGAAUCGGCGUUUGCCUUUUCUAAGGUUCUAAAGGCAUUUGCAAUGAUUGAGAGGAACGGUUGGGGGGAUACGCAUUUGACUGUUAGAGGUGAAAUUCUUGGAUCAGUCAAAGGCGAACUGAUGCGAAAGCGUUUCUCAAAAACGUUUUUAUUGAUCAAGAACGAAUGUUAAAGGGAUCGAAGACGAUCAGAUACCGUCGUAGUCUUAACGGUAAACUAUGCCAUCCAAAGAUCGGGCAAAUGCAUAGAGAUUGCUCGGGAUUUCGUGAGAAUCAGAGAUAUUGGGUUCUGGGG